GGGAUACAGCCGCUAGAAUAGCUGCUAACCUGGUCUUUUAUCCUCCCUGAUAAGGAUGAGGUCCCUGGUUCAAAUCCAGGUGGGCCCA
rnacentral:tRNA from 1 species